rnacentral:tRNA from 1 species
GCGGAAUUAGUAUAAUGGUAGUACGCUUGCUUCCCAAGCAAGAGACACGAGUUCGAUCCUCGUAUUCCGCA